GCAGUGGUGGUUCGGUGGUAGAAUUCUCGCCUUCCAUGCAGGAGACUUGGGUUUGAUUCCUGGCUAAUGCA
rnacentral:tRNA from 1 species